UAGUAACGGCGAGUGAAGCGGUAACAGCUCAAAUUUGAAAUCUGGGUCUUUUAGGCUCCGAGUUGUAAUUUGUAGAAGAUGCUUUGGGUGCGGCCCCGGUCUAAGUUCCUUGGAACAGGACGUCAUAGAGGGUGAGAAUCCCGUAUGUGAUCGGUGGCUUGCGCCCGUGUAAAGCUCUUUCGACGAGUCGGGUUGUUUGGGAAUGCAGCUCUAAAUGGGUGGUAAAUUUCAUCUAAAGCUAAAUAUUGGCCAGAGACCGAUAGCGCACAAGUAGAGUGAUCGAAAGAUGAAAAGCACUUUGGAAAGAGAGUUAAACAGUACGUGAAAUUGUUGAAAGGGAAGCGCUUGCAACCAGACUUGCGCGGGGUUGAUCAUCCGGGGUUCUCCCCGGUGCACUCGGCCUCGCUCAGGCCAGCAUCGGUUUUGGUGGUUGGAUAAAGGCCUUGGGAAUGUGACUUCUUUCGGGGAGUGUUAUAGCCCUCGGUGCAAUGCAGCCUACCGGGACCGAGGACCGCGCUUCGGCUAGGAUGCUGGCGUAAUGGUUGUAAGCGACCCGUCUUGAAACACGGACCAAGGAGUCUAACAUCUAUGCGAGUGUUUGGGUGUCAAACCCAUACGCGUAAUGAAAGUGAACGGAGGUGAGAACCCUUAAGGGUGCAUCAUCGACCGAUCCUGAUGUCUUCGGAUGGAUUUGAGUAAGAGCAUAGCUGUUGGGACCCGAAAGAUGGUGAACUAUGCCUGAAUAGGGUGAAGCCAGAGGAAACUCUGGUGGAGGCUCGCAGCGGUUCUGACGUGCAAAUCGAUCGUCAAAUUUGGGCAUAGGGGCGAAAGACUAAUC
rnacentral:rRNA from 1 species